rnacentral:tRNA from 2 species
GCUCUUUGGGUUGCUAACUCAACGGUAGAGUACUCGGACUCCAUCCGACUAGUUCCGGGUUCGAGCCCCGGG